CUCUCUUGCUCUUCUUGCCAUGUGACACCUCGCCCUUCACCUUCUGCCAUGAGUAAAACUUCCUGGGGCCUUACCAGAAAUCAAGCAGAUACUGGCACUAUGCUUGUAGAGCCCGCAAAACUGAAGCUGAACUGACACGAAACAAAAGAAGUCCGUUGUUUUGGAUUGAGUUCCAUACUUGGCUGGCCCAGAGGUUGAUCUCACCACCAUUCAGAUAUCCAAGAAGAAGCCACCUGUUGGAUUUAAGAAAACCCAGGCAGAUUUGGCAGUCUUCUUGAAAGGAAGUAAUGCUUAUUGUGGUCAGAAGAAAGAGUGAGGCAACUCAGGGUCUGAAAAAAGAGACA
rnacentral:lncRNA from 1 species